GGAGUUUAUCUCAAUCAUAUACUUGUAUAUAUGCAUAAAAAAUAUGUAUGAUAUACAUUUCUGCUUUAAAAGAAUGGGGCAGAUCUAUUAAUACUCAUGGGUUGUAAACUAUUUCACUAAAAAACCUGUGUAUAUUAUGCUACCAUUUGUGUUUUUUUAAAACAAGUCUGCAUCAGCAUAGAAUAUCCCUGGAGGGACAUAUAAACUGGUAACAGUGAAGAAAAUGGGAGACUAGAGGGAAUGGGAUGAAAGGAAACUUAACUUUGCAAUGUACAGCCCUAAACGGACUACAAUUGUAGCAAAAUGAACAUUAUUUUUUCUAUUAAAAACUAAAACUAAUAAAAGUCAUACUUAAAAAAUUCAGUCUAUAUACAAAGGCAUAAGAUAGAAAACUCCUCUGUAAAAUCACCAAUUAAAAAUAAUCAUUAAAAUAUUGGUGUCUAGCAUUCAUUUUCUUUAGUAUACAUGCAUAUAUACAAGUAUGUGUAUACAAGAGUAUUCUUCAAUUUUUUCUCAACAAGCUUAUAAAUACAGUUUUCACUUAAAAUGUAGGUAUGAUGCCAUAUCAAUAAAUAUAGAAUUGCACCAUAGCUUUUAGACUUCCCAUCAGAAAGAUUCAUAUCAAUUUAUAUUCCCAUUGGAAGUAUAAAAAGUACUUAUUUUCCCCCCAUCCUGGCCCACACUGACUAUUGACACUGAUUUUUCAAAAAAUCUUUCCUACUAUGAUAAAAUGUCUUACUUUUGAUUUAAUUUGCAUGCCCCGAUUCCUAAUCAGGUUGAGUAUUUUUCUUUGUUUACUGGCAAUUUUCAUUCUUUUCUUAGUUAAUUCUCUUUUCGUGUCCUUUGAUCAUUUUCUUAAUAGGAUACUCAAAGUCCUUCAUUAAUGGUUUGCAUCUCAUUAAUAGUUUGUGAUAUACGUUAAAAGGCUAUCAUUUAAUUUUUUAUGGAUUAUGCUAUUGCGUUCUGCACAAACAUUUUGAUACGAGUAUGAUAAAAGAAUCAUAAGAGCUUAUAUCUGAAAGGACUCCUCUAAAUUCUUUCUACAGUUAAGGAAACUGAGCUCUUGGAAACUACAGCUAUUUGUAUAGUUACUUAUGAUUUUGUGAUUCUCUGUUGAGUCUCUACCAUACAGGAGGUGGUCUCUGCCUCUGGUUCCUGGCACAGAGUUCUUAAAACCUGUGGGAUUGCCUGGGUGAUAGGAAUAUCUUUUGUUCUAAUAAGGAUGAUCAGAAAAUGCUUCAGUGCGAAGGCAACUUUUGAGCAAAGACUUGAAACAGGUGAGGUAAUGGAUCCUCGUGUAUCUGCAGGAAGACUGUUCCUCCGGGCAGUAUCUUCAAAGCUUUUGAGGUGAAGUGUGCCUAUCCUGAACAAUUUGGAGAAGACUGGUGUGGCUGGAGCAGAGUAAAAGAAAAAAAGGAGAUAAUCAGAAAAUCGGCAAGGUGGAAAAGGUGAAGACACCGAAGGGCCUUGUAGGGCAUCAAGAGGUCUCUGGCUUUCACUCUGGGUGAUAUGGGGAGCUCUUGGAGCUUUGAGCAGAGAGGUGUGUCAGGAUCGGACUUACAUUUUAAAAUGAUUAAUUGUCAUCACUUUUAGAUACAUUAAGAAGCUGAAGCCACUUUGAUGGUGGAUUAAGAGAUGUGGUGAGAGACUAAAGGAUAACUUCAAGAUAUCUAACCUGAGCAACUAAAAAGGAAGUUUCCAGUAACCGAGAUGAGGAAGACUGCAGGAAAAACAGGUUUAGAGGCAAAGAUCCAGAGAUUGUAGGUUUAAGAUAUCUAUUAAAUAUUCAAAAUAAAAUACUGCACAUACAAAUGGUAAGUCUAAAGUUUGCAGUAUAUGUGCAUGCUAGAUACACGUGUUGAAGGCUGGCAGAGCACAGGGAGUACGUAGGGCCACAGGACUGACAGAGAUCACUAAGGGAGGAACAGUAGACAGAGAAAAAGCCCAAGAACUGAAAACAAGGGUACCUCCACAGUUAAAAAGGUCAUUAGGAAGAUGGGAAGGAACUGUAAUUCACUGCGUAUUCACAUAUUUAACCCUCACUGAUAUCCUAUAAAUUAUUAUUCCUAUUUUAUAGUUGAGGUAGCUGCAAUUGAUCAGAGAUGUAAUAGCUAGAAAGUGCUGACACAAGGUUUGAACCUGGGCAAUUUGGCCUAAAAGCCUUUUGAUGCCUUAUCCUCUAUUUCUUUUCUAAAAGACCUGGGUUUUUAGAGUACUUCAUAGUAUGCAUAAAUCAACUGUAGGUCACUGUCCAGAAAGCUAAUGGAAUUUCAGGGUACAUAAAGAAACGGAUGAUGUCAAAACAAAAGGAGGUAUUACUCUAAGUGUAAUUAGCACUUUUUAGAUCUCACUUGAAGACGUGUACUGUACUUUGGCUGGCACACUAAAAAAAAAACACACUUAGUAGGUGCUCAAUAAAGGUUAGUUAUCAUACUAUCACAAUCAUUAUUAAAGAUGUACACAACAGCUGGUCCACAAACUGGAAGCCUGUCAGCAACGUUAUGCUAUUUUCCCAAACUGAGCAAUAGGGCAUUGAUUACAUCAAGCUUCUCUUAAAUCUUACUUUUUUUUCAUUGUAUUUAUUCAGUCAACUAGA